GAACGAACCACAGUAGCUAACUGCGAGCAGCACUGCUGGGGUGGGGUCGACGAGUUCCCGGUGAUGUAAUUCAGGCAAGGGGACAAGCUGAUGAGCACGUUGGUACAGUCCGACUGAGCCCUUGCUCCUCCUGCCCACAGCUGCAUGGUAAGCAACACAAUACCCAAACUCAUUGCCAUCUUGCUUCCUGCCAUUGUUAGUCUUGUUUCUGUGCUUGGGGGUAAAUAUGAUAAGAAACUGUUACAGGGAUAAGUUGGGGUUAUAUAGGGUGUUGAUGGGGGGAGGAGUAGAAGUAGUCAGACGUGGAUUAUUUUGUUGGGUGACCAACUCGGUCCUGAUGAAUAUAUUGAAUAUAAAGAAAAGGAGGGUUUAUUUUUGUUUUUGGCUUUGGUAGAAAGUUCCUAUCGUGCUGGAAGAAUACAAAUGGAAUGGUCCAAACGUAUGACUUUGGUAAUAGCUAAGCACGAGAAACCAUUUUGGAGGAUUGUGGGUCGGCUAUUUUGUGGGUUACCGAACUCUCUGUAUUCUUAUUGGUUGAUAGAUAGUCUCCUCCCUCCUAUGUGUUAACCUCUUCUGAUGAUGCUUAAGAAGAAAUUUCAUUAUAGAAAAGAGGUUGAAUACGACUGGAGAAGUCGUUUCUUCUUCGAGAAGUCGGUCCUGACGAACUUGUUUUUAAGGAUCACGCGUCUGUUUACCCCUAGAUAAGACUAUUUGUCUUUGAAACUUUCUGUUCUGUUACUCUCUUUGGAUUCACAGCCACAGGAAUGGAAAAUUCCAAGUAUCUUUGCUUGCGGAAGAGAUGAGACCAUCGUUUUGUGUUGACACGUGAAACGCUUACCCUCACUUUACCUCUAGUUGUCUACAAUAAAACAAAUUGUUUAUACAAAAAAAUAAAUGAAAUGUGCAAGUAACUAUUUUACUCUGUCUCUCUCAUUUCAUUGUUUACUUGUUUGAUCACCUCUGGCUCUGAUAAUAAUGUUUCAGCCCGAAUUCUGUUUUUUGGGUUUACUGUGUAGGAAAUCAAUUUGUAGGCUGGCUGGCUCUGGGCGGCUGUGUGUCAAUGAAGGAAGUUAUGAACCGUGUAUUUGUCAUGCUUAGUGGGUACACGAGAAGGAAAAUAAACUAGAGGAUGAUGAAAGGCACCAACCACGACAAAGUAAGAGUUAAUCCUCUCAGUUACUAAAUCAAAAAGUCAAACCUUUCCAUAGUUGUGUUAUAUGCCAACUACAAAUUUGUGUUGGACAUAUGUCAUUAUGAUGUAUUCCAACUGAAUAGGCAAAUUACUAAGGUAAGCUCUUUGAUACUGUUGACCCUGAGCUCUAGCAGGCAUUGCCACAUUACUCAUGGGGGGUAUACCUAUUCGAUUCAUCACGUUCGAAUUAUUCCUCUCAGUAUUUCAUUUUUACCUGUGUGCUAUAAUCUUUAUAUAUGUUGAUGAAAACAGAAAAUCCAGCUUCCCUGUAGGACUAACGAUGUGGAAAGACCAAUGCAAUUGGAAUUAGCUCCAACAACCGAUCCAUCGUCUGACAGUAAUCUUAAAAUAUGAUUCAGUGCUCCUUCCGGUUCACUCUCCUAGUCCUAGCUUUGUUUUCUAUGUACAAUUUCUUUUGCAGUUAAUAAUAUUCGCUCAUAUCAUAAAAUAAACCCAGAGCAUAGUUGUAACUAGAGUGGCCCAUUUGCAUGUGCCGAGCGGCCCUCUGACUCAGGGCAUCAACAUCGGGGUCUUGGAAUUUCGGUUGCGAAGUAUCUGAUAAACAAAUCAUAUAACUUUACAAAGAUUUGUUAAUAUUAAUAAAACCCACAUUCAAGUUUUGACAUUAAGCCAUCAAAUUUCAUUAGACAGCUCUGGUCGUAGCCUGACAAAUUAUAGUUGGUAUUCUUAUUGCAACAGCAAAAACACACGUAAACAAGUGACGCUCUCAUCCAUGGACCGACCCCCACCCAACUCCAUAUUAAAGCCAGCAUAAACUUAAAAGUAAUAAUAUCAUAACAGACAAACACAUGGUACGUAUUCGUAGAAGUAGUUGUACGUACGUGAACAUUAAUCAACAACACACACAACAUAGAAAGCGAGACUUCUUCUGCUAUAGGUAUCCAAUCCAUCCCGC
rnacentral:lncRNA from 1 species